rnacentral:rRNA from 1 species
UACGUAGGGUGCGAGCGUUGUCCGGAAUCAUUGGGCGUAAAGCGCACGUAGGCGGCUUGCCAAGUCGGACGUGAAAUCCCUCAGCUCAACUGAGGACGUGCAUCCGAAACUGGCGAGCUUGAGUGCUGAAGAGGAUCGCGGAAUUCCCGGUGUAGAGGUGAAAUUCGUAGAUAUUCGCAAGAACACCAGUGGCGAAGGCGGCUCACUGGCCCGGUACUGACGCUGAGGCACGAAAGCGUGGGGAGCAAACAGGG